CACAAUUCCCCAUGUGGGCUUCACUAUAAUUCAAUCGCACAUCCUCCUCAGCUCCGUUAUAACGAUCGGCCGUUCUCUCUGCCGCCAAACGAAACGGAGCCUCUCCUAGCGACGUUAUGCUGCACAGCGUUUAAAUGUCUGAUUCCACUCUGUCUGGCCUUUUCCAUUUUUAUUCUCUCUUAUAAGGUACAGUGACCGCGACGACGACGAAGAAGAAGAAGAAGAAG
rnacentral:misc_RNA from 1 species